AUGCAUAUCCGCAACUGCUACACAACACCGACGCAGCAUGCACCACGAAGAAGAGCAUUCAUUCGGCCAUGUUGCACAAUCUCCUCCCAUGAACAUGCACCACUCACAACUGAACCAGACGCCGUCACCAAAAGAACCGGUCAUCUCCCUCUGCUCACAUCACACGUAGUCCCUCGCCUCACCGGAAGGAGAUCGUGCAUCACAGACCGCGCCCGUCCUCCGCACUCCCAUGCGCCGCCAUGA